GAUUUUGUAGCUCAACGGUAGAGCGGUGGUUUGUUAAACCAAGGGUUGUAGGUUCAAAUCCUGCCAAAAUCGCCA
rnacentral:tRNA from 1 species